rnacentral:lncRNA from 1 species
UGAGCCGUGUUCUAAACGUUUGUGCUGCUCUCUGCUGGUACAAAAUAAUAAUUACAAUUAUCAAUGGUUAAAGGUUUGAUUAAUUAUUUACAUAUAAACUGGCCCCAAAUAAGAUAGAAUAAAUGACACAGAUAUUCAAAACACAAAAUUACAGCUAAAGCUUAUUUUGUAAUAUAUUAAAGUGACAAAACUUCAUCUCCGAAUUGUUACAAGCAUAUCUUAGAUCAAAAAUGAAGAUGAAGUCAUUACAAAAAAAUCAACUACAGAUGAAUUUGUUAAUUUCUAGUCAGACUUCCUGUCUUCGCUUGUUCAUAUCUUGAUGAACACAGCCUCAUAAUGUGAUUGUGCUAUUUUAUGAGGUUUUGAAAGUGACAUCACGAAGCCUCGCCCCCCCAGGCUUUUAUAAUUAGUCACCUACAGUCACAGGCAGCCGUACACACUACAGCUUUCUACAGGGAGCAGAGAGCACAAAGCUACAGCCACACAAGUGUUUGUGAAGACAUACAGCUAAAGGAAAACUAUGACAAGGGUCAGUCGUCAAACUCUGAUAACAUGUGUGUUGUUAUUCUGUGCAGUAACAAAACAGAUGGCAACCUCCACAGCACCAACUUCAACUUCUGCAAACCUUGCUGAGACAUCAACUGCAGGUGUCACUGAAAACACCAGCACCACUGACAUCAACCAAAGCGCCAACACAGGCAUUACUCCCACAAACACCACUGAAACAAACAGCACCACUGACAUCGCCCAAAUCACCAGCACAGCCAUUACUCCCACAAACACCACUCAAACAAACAGCAGUACUGACAUUACCCAAAGCACCAGCACAGCCAUUACUCCCACAAACACCACUCAAACAAACAGCAGUACUGACAUUACCCAAAUCACCAGCACAGCCAUUACUCCCACAAACACCACUCAAACAAACAGCAGUACUGACAUUACCCAAAGCACCAGCACAGCCAUUACUCCCACAAACACCACUCAAACAAACAGCAGUACUGACAUUACCCAAAGCACCAGCACAGCCAUUACUCCCACUAGUGCCACCCAAACAAACAGCACCACUGACUUCGCCCAAAGCACCAGCACAGCCAUUACUCCCACAAACACCACCGAAACAAACAGCACCACUGACAUCACCCAAACCCCCAACACAACGAUCACCUUAAGCACUUUAAAUACAAGUAUUCAAACAAUCACAGAAACUACUACCAAAACUACCAUCACCACCCGAGCUACCACCACAACAGCCAUCACUCAUGGAAUCACCACCCCCCCAAGAGCCACCACCAGGGGUACCACUCUGGGGCAGGAUGAACACAAGCCUAAAGGUCUAAGCUCAGGUAUGGAGAAUUGCUCAGACACAGUUAUUCUUUCUGUUUCAUGCAUUUCCUUUCUUUUUCGAUCGAUCCCACAACAAUUCUGCUACAUGACAGUAAGUCAGAAACCAGUGUAUCUUCACUGA